rnacentral:rRNA from 1 species
AGAGUUUGAUCCUGGCUCAGAACAAACGCUGGCGGCGUGUCUUAAGCAUGCAAGUUGAGCGGCAAGGGGGAGCGAUCCCUCCUAGAGCAGCGGACUGGUGAGUAACGCGUGGGUAAUCUGCCUUGGGCAUGGGGAUAGCCAUUAGAAAUAGUGGGUAAUACCGAAUACGUUCCACGGGGGGAGUGCUUGUGGAAGAAAGGGUGCUACGGCACUGGCCUGAGAUGAGCUCGCGUCCCAUUAGCUAGUUGGUGAGGUAAAGGCCCACCAAGGCGAUGAUGGGUAGCCGGCCUGAGAGGGUGUACGGCCACACUGGGACUGAGAUACGGCCCAGACUCCUACGGGAGGCAGCAGCUAAGAAUAUUCCGCAAUGGACGGAAGUCUGACGGAGCGACGCCGCGUGGAUGAAGAAGGCCGAAAGGUUGUAAAGUUCUUUUGCUGGGGAAGAAUAACCGCAGGAGGGAAUGCCUGUGGGAUGACAAGAACCGGCGAAUAAGCCCCGGCCAACUACGUGCCAGCAGCCGCGGUAACACGUAGGGGGCGAGCGUUGUUCGGAAUUACUGGGCGUAAAGGGCAUGUAGGCGGCUUGGAAAGCCUGGCGUGAAAGUCUGCAGCUUAACUGCAGGGGUGCGCUGGGAACUGCUGAGCUUGAGUGACGGAGAGGGAGCUGGAAUUCCUGGUGUAGGGGUGAAAUCUGUAGAUAUCAGGAAGAACACCGAUGGCGAAGGCAAGCUCCUGGCCGAUGACUGACGCUGAGGUGCGAAAGUGUGGGGAUCAAACAGGAUUAGAUACCCUGGUAGUCCACACAGUCAACGAUGUGCACUAGUGCUGGGGCGGUAGCUUCGGUGCCGGAGCGAACGUGGUAAGUGCACCGCCUGGGGAGUAUGCUCGCAAGGGU